CCAAAGGCUCUUUUAAGAGCCACCCACCUUGCCGUGAAAAGAGCUGU
rfam:Alligator mississippiensis ScZkoYb_5, whole genome shotgun sequence.